GGAGGAGAGAGGUGGGGGUGGGGGUGAGGAGGGGUGUCGAGGGACGAAGGGAGGAGGGAGGGUGAGAGAGAAGAAACGUGUAAUCACCCAAACAACCAUUUUUACCCAUUUCACCCCUUCUGGAUCUGUGUCGCAAGCCUGCCGGGAGCUUAUCCGUCUCUCACUGUGGAUACCGUGAGGGGAGGCCGGACCGUCAGGGAGACACCAAGAGAAUUGGCACUUUGGAGUGAAGUCCAUGCAAAGCGUCUCUGUAUAUCAUGCUGGCCGGGUUUCCACGGCAGUGUUACUGACAUAGUAAAUUAAAGGAGGCACACAUCAGGUAGUUGACGGAUCGGAGGCAUCAACAGCAAACUUAUAAUCGCAGCGCUGUCACAGUGGUCGGAGACAGCAGAUUGAUGACGGUGUGACAGAGUGACAUUGCAUUCUGGGAACCCAGGACUAUGGCCAUAAAUCCACGGCGAUUCAGCUUUACAAUGGCCUACUGUCGAGCCAUCAGAGGGUAGGAGGCUGUUGCUGCAUCACCCUAGUGAGCUGCUAGGGUACAACUAUUAUGCUGUCUUGAUGGGGAAAAGUGGGAAAAUGGAGACACCAGGGGGAAAUAGUCAACUUGGUAAUGAAUUAUGAAAAUCUUAAUAGAGGGAAAAAAGAAGAAAGGGACAGAGAAAACUUCUUUGGUUCGUGGAAAUUUCCCACGCGCUUUAGAUGUUGAAGCGCUAUGGUUCUUUUCAAGAAGAUCUGUCAAAUCAGAGCCUCAGCUGUAUUAGAAAGCAAAUAAAACACAUGAACAAAUAAACACUCCAAGUUUCUUAUUGACCUUGGAGAACCAGCUGUGUUGUGAGUGCAGCUCAACUUGGCUCUCUGCACCCUCCUUCGAUUCGGGUGAGACUGUGUGUGUGUGUGUGUGUGAGAGAGAGAGAGAGAGAGAGAGAGAGAGAGAGCAGAAUAGAGCUCUUGAGUAUAGCAGUGUCUUUUUACUCAAACUGCAUGCAUCCCUUUUUAAGUGUGUGUACAAUAAAUGGCUGCAGGUUUGUAAUUUGAUCGGUUAUAAACAAGUUCCGAACUUACUGAUAUUUCCCACAAGUCCUAGCUCGCCAUUUGCUCUCUUGGGAUACAAACUUGAGAGGUCACAUGUGUUUAGACGUUCUCUCCCUGGGCUGUAUGUAGAAAAACAGUGAUGAUGUCCUCUUUGAAAUGAAAAAAUUUCACAUUUCUUUAUAGAUACUUGCUGAACUAAUAACAGGGGAGAGAUUCUGCUGAUUUAGGCCUAUGAUGGAAACAGUGACUUCAGGAAAAUAAGUUACAGGAGCUGAGUGUGAUAUCAUUUUUUAAGUAAUUCCAGGCUAUACUGACCAAGUAUGAUCAAGCAGGAAUUUUAUUUUAUUGUAGCUCAUAAUAUAGGAUACAAACAGGGAUGCAGAUAAAGUCCAAAAGAUUUCACAUUACAUAUAUCAGCAAUGUACUGACACACUGUGUAUAUACAGGUUGGGUCAUUAUGCACUGCAUGUACAUGGUUGUGGUAAAAGCAGUACAAGAGUCCUUGGCAGCACAAAAAAUGCUGGAAUGAAAACUGUUUGGAUAAUAAUUUAAUCUACAGAAGUGCACAUAUGUGGAUGUAUUGUAUACAGAGUAGAUACAGACCUGUCUCACCUGCAUGUGACAGUGAAUAAAAGUUGUUUGAAUAGUCGUUUUCAGCCCUGGCAUAUCUGAUUUAAAUGUUCAUGAGAGUUGUUUUAACACUAAUUUAAUACAAUAUUUAAUAUUAUACUUUUAAUAUAAUAUUGUUUAAUAAUUAACAAUAUUAGAAGUAUGUUCCUGACUUCACCUAAAGUAAAAACAAACAAACAACGUGCACUUUAUGUUGCUCUUAUCUUUACUUUUGUCUUGUGAAUUAUAAGAUUAUAUUCCCGCGUUAAAGCUCUAAAAUUUCUACAAAUAGUGUCCGCAUCUUUGAUUGAGGUUUCUUGGAAACUCAUACAUGUAUUUGAGGUUGGUCAUGAGUAGGCAUUUCCUAAUUUCACAGGGUCACCAGCCCAGUAGCCUGGGAAGUUUG